GCUUGCACCGAGCGGAUGAGUUGCGAACGGGUGAGUAACGCGUAGGUAACCUGCCUCUUAGCGGGGGAUAACUAUUGGAAACGAUAGCUAAUACCGCAUAAAAGUCGAUAUCGCAUGAUAUUGAUUUGAAAGGUGCAAUUGCAUCACUAAGAGAUGGACCUGCGUUGUAUUAGCUAGUUGGUGAGGUAACGGCUCACCAAGGCGACGAUACAUAGCCGACCUGAGAGGGUGAUCGGCCACACUGGGACUGAGACACGGCCCAGACUCCUACGGGAGGCAGCAGUAGGGAAUCUUCGGCAAUGGGGGCAACCCUGACCGAGCAACGCCGCGUGAGUGAAGAAGGUUUUCGGAUCGUAAAGCUCUGUUGUAAGAGAAGAACGAGUGUGAGAGUGGAAAGUUCACACUGUGACGGUAACUUACCAGAAAGGGACGGCUAACUACGUGCCAGCAGCCGCGGUAAUACGUAGGUCCCGAGCGUUAUCCGGAUUUAUUGGGCGUAAAGCGAGCGCAGGCGGUUAGAUAAGUCUGAAGUUAAAGGCUGUGGCUUAACCAUAGUACGCUUUGGAAACUGUUUAACUUGAGUGCAGAAGGGGAGAGUGGAAUUCCAUGUGUAGCGGUGAAAUGCGUAGAUAUAUGGAGGAACACCGGUGGCGAAAGCGGCUCUCUGGUCUGUAACUGACGCUGAAGCUCGAAAGCGUGGGGAGCAAACA
rnacentral:rRNA from 1 species